rnacentral:rRNA from 1 species
GACGAACCGUGCGAACGUUGUUCGGAUUCACUGGGCUUAAAGGGCGCGUAGGCGGGCGGUCAAGUCAGGGGUGAAAUCUUUCGGCUCAACCGGAAAAGUGCCUUUGAUACUGGCCGUCUCGAGGGAGGUAGGGGCAUGCGGAACUUCCGGUGGAGCGGUGAAAUGCGUAGAUAUCGUCUGGAACGCCGAAGGUGAAAACAGACUGCUGGGGAUGAGCUGACGCUGAGACACGAAAGCCAGGGGAGCGAACGGG